rnacentral:rRNA from 1 species
ACUAGUCUGGGAUACCACUUGGAAACAGGUGCUAAUACCGGAUAAGAAAGCGGAUCGCAUGAUCAGCUUUUAAAAGGCGGCGUAAGCUGUCGCUAUGGGAUGGCCCCGCGGUGCAUUAGCUAGUUGGUAAGGUAAAGGCUUACCAAGGCGAUGAUGCAUAGCCGAGUUGAGAGACUGAUCGGCCACAUUGGGACUGAGACACGGCCCAAACUCCUACGGGAGGCANCAGCU